GCCAACCAUCACUAAAGGUUAGAGUGGAGGGAUAGAAUGCAGUUGAGAGAGAGAUUGGUAUCUAAAGCAAGAAUGUCAGAUGUCUGCGAGCCAAGGGACAGAGUCCUGGAAAAUAUUAGGUGCAGGGAUGUCUGACAAAUCCAACUUGGGAACAUUCAAUUGGCCCUACCCUACUUACAGGAACCCCCUGAAGUGUGCCUUGGGGAGGAGAUCUCACAGUUCAUUCAGGACUACCCUCCACAAAAACUGCAUUUGGAGUUACUGUCUUCAGAUCUAGGGACCCCCUCCCACAUCAGAGUGCAUGUGUGCAAUCACCCCCUGUCACUCCAUGACAGCCAUGAAGCCAGGUGAGAAGAAAAUCGAGGUUGGUUCAUGAGAGCAGUGGAGACGGGAGAGUCAGUGGAGACCCUGCAAACCAUGCACACAAUCUAGAAAUAAAACUGAAACUAUUUA